rnacentral:rRNA from 1 species
UACAGAGGGGGCAAGCGUUGUUCGGGAUUACUGGGCGUAAAGGGCGCGUAGGCGGCCCGCUAAGUCGAACGUGAAAUCCCCGAGCUCAACUCGGGAACUGCGUCCGAUACUGGCGGGCUUGAAUCCGGGAGAGGGAUGCGGAAUUCCAGGUGUAGCGGUGAAAUGCGUAGAUAUCGGGAAGAACAUCGGUGGCGAAAGCGCUCUACUGGACCGCAACUGACACUCAGGGACGAAAGCUAGGGGAGCGAAUGGG